GACGAACGCUGGCGGCGUGCCUAAUACAUGCAAGUUGAGCGAUGAAGAUUGGUGCUUGCACCAAUUUGAAGAGCAGCGAACGGGUGAGUAACGCGUGGGGAAUCUGCCUUUGAGCGUGGGACAACAUUUGGAAACGAAUGCUAAUACCGCAUAAUAACUUUAAACAUAAGUUUUAAGUUUGAAAGAUGCAAUUGCAUCACUCAAAGAUGAUCCCGCGUUGUAUUAGCUAGUUGGUGAGGUAAAGGCUCACCAAGGCGAUGGUACAUAGCCGACCUGAGAAGGUGAUCGGCCACAUUGGGACUGAGACACGGCCCAAACCCCUACGGGCGGCAGCAGUAGGGAAUCUUCGGCAAUGGACGACAGUCUGACCGAGCAACGCCGCGUGAGUGCAGAAGGUUUUCGGAUCGUAAAACUCUGUUGGUAGAGAAGAACGUUGGUGAGAGUGGCAAGCUCAUCAAGUGACGGUAACUACCCAGAAAGGGACGGCUAACUACGUG
rnacentral:rRNA from 1 species